rnacentral:rRNA from 1 species
CGCUGGCGGCGUGCUUAACACAUGCAAGUCGAACGGAGUAUCCUCCCGAGACCGAGGAAGCUUGCUCUGAGAAUCAUUUGGAAUACUUAGUGGCGGACGGGUGAGGUAACGCGUGGGUAACCUGCCUCACACAGGGGGAUAACAGUUGGAAACGACUGUUAAUACCGCAUAAGCGCACAGUACCGCAUGGUACAGUGUGAAAAACUCCGGUGGUGUGAGAUGGGACCCCGCGUCUGAUUAGCUAGUUGGUGAGGUAACGGCCCACCAAGGCGACGAUCAGUAGCCGGCCUGAGAGGGUGUACGGCCACAUUGGGACUGAGACACGGCCCAAACUCCUACGGGAGGCAGCAGUGGGGGAAUAUUGCACAAUGGGGGAAACCCUGAUGCAGCGACGCCGCCGUGAGUGAUGAAGUAUCUCGGUAUGUAAAGCUCUAUCAGCAGGGAAGAUAAUGACGGUACCUGACUAAGAAGCACCGGCUAAAUACGUGCCAGCAGCUGC